AAGGGGCAAGAUGUGUUUUCUUGUACUUGCCCUACGGAUAUGCUAGUUGACAUAUAAAUCUAACAGGGCUUUUGUUGUAUUUACAAGCAUGUCAGAUUUAUAGGUCAACUAGCAUGUUUUUAUUUAACAUAUUUUUGAUACAUGUAUAUACACUUCCUCUGCUUUCUGUGUUUUUUUGCUGUGCACAUACUGAUUUUGUUUCAAGGAUGGAUACCCUAUAUCCUUUCUUUUCAUUUAAACAAAUGUACAUAAACUGUAUUGUGAACAACACCUUGGUUUUUUCUUUCUUUUUAUCAACAGUGACUUUUGUGGCCAUUUUACUUAUUCUUCUGGAAGUAUAAACAACUGUCAUACAAGAUGGGGGUUUAGGUAGCUAUAACACCACAGGAUUAACCAAGCAUUUUCUAAAGAAAUGCCUAUAACAAGUCAGGAAU
rnacentral:lncRNA from 1 species